UACGGAGGGUGCAAGCGUUAUCCGGAAUCAUUGGGUUUAAAGGGUCCGCAGGCGGUCUUAUAAGUCAGUGGUGAAAGCCUACAGCUCAACUGUAGAACUGCCAUUGAUACUGUAAGACUUGAAUUCGAUCGAAGUGGGCGGAAUAUGACAUGUAGCGGUGAAAUGCUUAGAUAUGUCAUAGAACACCGAUAGCGAAGGCAGCUCACUAGGUCUGGAUUGAACGCUCGAGGGGACGGAAAGCGUGGGGAGCAAACAGG
rnacentral:rRNA from 1 species